GCAGUCUGAAUUGAAAAUGUUAGAAGAAUAAGACGUUAUAUUCAUUUUUCUUUUUUUUUUCUUAAGUGCUUCUCAUUGAGUUAUAUGUUUGGUUUUCUUUCACCUUAAAGCAGCAAAGCUCACAAACACUGUAAACAUCAUCCAUUGCCAAGUUCUUCAAAUUUCCUAAUUUUCCUUCAAAGCACCAUACAGCAUGUGCAGGUGCAAUACUUCACAUUCCUUAAUUGGUGCUAGUCUUUGUCGGAAUGAAAGUCUGCAGCUACUCCGAAGUUUAUUGUUGAUUACAGCCGAGAUUCCAGGCAGACCCCAUUGUCCUUAUAUGGCACAACAGAGACCUGGUAGAGCCGUGCAUCUCUGCCUCUCUCUCUCGCAACCUCUCACUUUUACUCUCUCUAUACACCCCCAUCCUCCAUCUGCCUCCAAGACACUCUCUCUACCUUCUUUCCAUCCCUUCGCACAUCCAAGAGAGCUUGACGCUGAACAGUGACAGAGGCGCUUCUUUCCCUGCAGGCUUUGUUUUCUCCCCCAUCUCUCUUUUGGACCGCAGCAAGGCCUCAGAACAUACCAGCCACGGUCCUGUUCCCUGGAAACAUCACAGACUUGAUUUAUGGGAUGCAAUCGGAGGUUGUCCUUAUAUAGGAAGUUCCAUUAGAUAGCAGGAGCCCGUUGUGGGAAUGGAGGGGACGGAAUGUGAUGUGCGUAACGAUAAGGGUCCCAAAACGGAUCUCAGGGGAUUCGCCUCGUCCAGAUGUAGUGUAUGGCAUGUAGUCUAGGGGAUCUCCCUUUUCCCACUUGGGCCUUUUCUGUUUCUUUCCUCUGUUCUUUAUGUUAAGGUUUCCUUGAUAUAUUCCUUGUCCCCGUUCACUUUCACUGUGUGGAAGAGAGUAGUGUGAACAUACUGCGAAACAUCUCCUUCUGUGCUUCACGUAAGAAAUAACUUCACAGUUUUGGAAUGACAUGGGCAUGCAAAAAUAACGACAGAAUUUUCAUUUUUGGUUGAACUAUCCCUUUAAAUCUGACAUUUUUCCACAUUCCAGAUUCUGCGACUAAUGUUUGUGUUCUGCUACUAAAACAGUAUGAAAAUUCCUCAUAAAAACAUGAAUGACUGCAUAUUUAAAAAUAUGAUAAUGUAAAUAAUAAUUUCAAAAUUUCCUCAGUAAUCAUGUCAUUUCCUACAACAAAAAACUUUGUACAUAAUAAUCCCCCCCCCCUUCU